rnacentral:rRNA from 1 species
AUAGCGUAUAUUAAAGUUGUUGCAGUUAAAAAGCUCGUAGUUGGAUUUCAAGGGAAGUAACGUGUCUUCACGUUGCCCCCUACCAGUCUUUGACUGUUACUGUGAGAAAAUUAGAGUGUUUCAAGCAGGCUGUUGCAGGAAUACAUUAGCAUGGAAUAACGAAUGUGUCUAGAAUCUUGGUUAAUUCUAGAUUACGAUUAAUAGGGACAGUUGGGGGCAUUAGUAUUUAAUUGUCAGAGGUGAAAUUCUUGGAUUUGUUAAAGACUAACGUAUG